UUCAAUAUUGUUGACAGUUACGAACAAUGUGGGCAGCAAAACAUUGUUCAAUCCUGUUUUCAUCAGUAUUGCAUCAACCUGAGCGUUUUUACGCGUGUACACGGCAAAAAAUGCACAAGUUGUUCCAAGUUGAUAUCGACAGGCGCGAACAAUGUUGUGCGGCCAACUAUGAACAAGUUGUCAACCAUGUUGUUCCAAGUUGUUACAGU